GAUAAAAAGCCAGUUCAUGCUUUUACAGUAUGAAAAUUGGUGAUUUAUAAUAACUUAGCAAAUCGCAAAGUGAAAACAGGCGAUAAAUCAUUCAAGUUUCUGACCUAUCAGCUUUCGACGGUAUGGUAUUGGCUUACCGUGGCAGUGACGGUUAACGGGGGAUUAGGGUUCGAUUCCGGAGAGGGAGCCUGAGAAACGGCUACCACAUCUAAGGAAGGCAGCAGGCGCGCAAAUUACCCAAUUCUAACAGUUUGAGAGAGGUAGUAACAAGAAAUAACAAUACAAGGCAGUUAAAAUGCUUUGUAAUUGGAAUGAUAGAAAUUUAAACCCUUUUUAAAGUAUCAAUUGGAGGGCAAGUCUGGUGCCAGCAGCCGCGGUAAUUCCAGCUCCAAUAGCGUAUAUUAAAAUUGUUGCAGUUAAAAAGCUCGUAGUUGAAGUUCUGCUGAAAGUAACCGGUCUGCUUUUAAUAAAAGUGGUAUCUUGGUAUGUAUUUAGCAAUGAUGUCCUUUGAAGUGUUUUUUACUUUAUUGUAAUAAAGCAUAUUCAGGACUUUUACUUUGAGAAAAUUAGAGUGUUUCUAGCAGGCUAACGCUUUGAAUACUGCAGCAUGA
rnacentral:rRNA from 1 species